rnacentral:lncRNA from 1 species
GCAGCGGGCGUGCAUCCUCUUCCGCCCCGGCCCGGAAGGGUGAUGUGGCUGGACCAGCACCGGCCUCACUAUGUCUGCCAUUUUCAAUUUUCAGAGUCUAUUGACUGUAAUCUUGCUGCUUAUAUGUACGUGUGCUUAUGUGCGAUCCCUGGCACCCAGCAUCCUGGACAGAAAUAAAACUGGACUAUUGGGGAUAUUUUGGAAGUGUGCCCGAAUUGGUGAACGCAAGAGUCCUUAUGUCGCCAUAUGCUGUAUAGUGAUGGCCUUCAGCAUCCUCUUCAUACAGUAGCUUUGGAAACUACCAGCACGUGAUUGCCAUCAGACUGUACACAGGACGUGCCUCCAGAAAAUAACGGGAGAAUGGUUAAGCCUCUUGUCUCUGAACAUGGAAUGAGAUAAAUUUCGAGAUGCUGUUCUCUCUUUUUAUGCUAUUGGACCAAUGAGCUGUAUGAAUAAUUACGAUGUAACAGUUAAUACAUAGGAACGUGAUUGCAGCCAUCGACCUCGGUUCUCUCACUCCAGUAUUACACUCUACAAACGUCAUCCUGUUACGUCAGGACCGCUUUUCCUAAGGUUCUCCAGGCACGAAGUAGAAACCCAGUGGCCAGUUCCACAGGCUUCUUUGACUAGGGCUUCAAAAUAAUGUCUUCACACAGUGAUACCUUCUAGCGACUGGCCUAUUUUUAUUGAGAAAAGAAAAUGGUUCUAUUUUUGUUGUUACUGUUCUUAGGAAUUGCAUUCAUAUUUAAACCCUUUUGAUUGCUAACCAGAGUACCUCUAUUCUUGGCAAAUUCUGUACUUUAUUACAGGUGUUUAAAAUAGUUUAAACAAAACUGCAUUUCUUUAAUUAGCCUUAGAGUUGGGCUUCUAGUCACAUAUGUAUGGCUGCCAUCCUGUGAAGGAGAGUAUCUUAGAAUGACAAAAGCGGCAAGCAGAACGAUGACUGAAUAUGCAUUAUACAUUUUUCGUUCUCUGUGGUAUUGAGUCUUCCAAAUAGAACAUCCAUGUAGUUACCCAAAUGCGUUAUUUGUGGUGUUUUUAAUGCAGCACUUUGCUUCUGGUUUAUGUCCUGUCAGCGUGAACUGGAAUCUCUUCUGUAACUUUGUAGGUGAUAAACAUACCUCAUACUGCUUAGUCUGGGUACUGUGCUCUCAGUGUAUUUCAGCUUUCACACAGAUUGGGAAUAGACACAAGUGAAGCAUACAUAUUCAAAGGAUACGUGCAGGUUUGUGUCCAACAUUUCUUCAGGUCAGCUGAAAGUCACUCACUACUUCAAAGCAAAGAGGAAGUAAAUCCUAGCUGGAAGCACUUCAUAGCAUUUAUUAAUUAAUUACUGGGUUCGACUGCUCCUUUAAAAGUUAAAAAAAAAAAAAAGAAAAAAAAAAACCUUUUUCUUAGAAGUGAGGUUUCUAUAAAAGCCAAGCGUUGGACUUGAAGACUUAUUGUAAAGCAGUAUACCACUGUGCAGCCCAAAUGACCACCACAGCUAGCUAAACCACCAGCUUUGAAAUAGUGCUCUAGGCCCCAUGGAUUACAGUCUAGACUAAGGUCUAGGAAAGCUUACUUGGUGUAUUUUACGGGUUGCUUGUUUUCCAAAAGAUCUUUGCAAUGUCUAUAUCUAGUUAAAACUGGUCUAAUUUACUUUGAAUGUGAAAUCAGGUUAUGAUAAUUACUCUACUCUGAAAUUUACCUUGGGCUUAGUAUUAGGUCAAAGAUUUUCACUGUGUCCCAAAAGUAGGACUCUCUCCUCUGCACAUUAAGUAGUCACCUUUCAGGGUUCGAUUUUUGGUUGGCCAUCUGUUCAUCUCCACUACCAACUGAAGUUUCCAGAAAUGUGGUCAACUUCUUUCCUAAGUUAACAUACAUCUCAUAAAAAUGGAGAGAAUAAAGAGUUGUCUUUAGUUUGACAUUUUAGACAAUGUAGGUGGAAAUUAGAGAAAGACAUAGUUAACUUGAAGCUUCCAGGUAACAUAAGACUUUCAUCAUUACGUAGAUUCUGGGCAUUCUGGGCAGGUAUUUCUAGUCCCCACCCUCCUGAACGUUUACAGUACAGGCACUUUGGAGGUGUAGGAAGGCUGCAAAGACAAAGAUCUUACAAAGAAAUGCAAUUAGCAUUUUUGAUGUGCAAACAGUGACUCCUGUUUUCUAAGCCACAGGGUCCUGUGGGAGGUGUGAAGCCCACAGAAUAGUUAGCUGUCUUUGUUAGUGGGGUGUGGAGGAGCAGUAAAGCACGCCAGGCAGCUGGCCUUUGCACAGACGGUAAACACAGUGUAGGUGGCAAUAGGGGGCGAGAGGCACUAAGACCCAGGCCUGACAAUGUUCAGAUGUUCGCCCUAGCUACUUUGUUGGCUCUAGAACCUUGAAGCCAUGUCUCCAGAUUUGUUUUGUUUUGGGUUCCCCAUUUGUUUCAUCUGUGUCAUUGACAGGCAAGGAGACAUGUAUUCCUUCCAGGUAGUCUUGCAAGAGGGGCAAAAAGGCCUUGUGUUAAAUUGGUUUUAAUAGUUUUAAAAAGUUAAAAUAUCAAUUCGGUGUCUUGCUGAUGUCUUUAAUAUGCUGGAAACUACCAUAUAUGUUUCAAUUCAAGGUGUUUCCUGCUGGGGUUAGUAAGAAUAUUUAUAAAUUUAUAAUAAAUUUGUUUAUCUUCUUAAUAAAAUUAGUCUUGUACCAUAGGGUGACACAGAUUCCCAUACAUUAACUUUUUCAAGUUUACAAAGUCAAACAAAUCUGCCUCCAUUUGUGAAAAUUAUUUAAUACUUAUUAAUAAUAUUUUUUUCAGGAAACAUGUACACAAUUGGUAUGGCAUGUGACCAUUGAAAAUAAAUGAGUAGUUGAUCUGUAUUCAUAGUGUCCAUGAAAGAUGAAAUGAAUGUCUAUGAAGUAUAAUGUGCUAACACUUAUUCUUGAGAUAAUCCCAGCAUUCUUUAAAAAAAAAAAAAAGGAAGAGUGAAGAUGCAUUGUGGGUAGAACGUCUCAGAGAACAUGGAUUAAACGGAACUUGACAGUGUUGUUUUAAAAACACAAUUCUGUGUUUGGGAUUAUAUGUCCCUUAGUUUGUUGUGGCACAUGUGAAGUAUGGCGUGGCCAGACAGAUGUUAUAUCCUGGAAAGUCAUGUAUUUUACCUACCUCAAAACUGAAGCUGAGAGUUUGUUUCCCCUCCUGCCUCACAAAUCCUUCAGGAGGAUAAUAAAAUCUCCCUUGGUUUAUGAGCAAGCAAAGUUGACAAAGGGAUACACUAGUAGAUUCUCCUGAGACUUUUGUAAACAUUGUAGAGG